UAACGACUCUCGGCAACGGAUAUCUCGGCUCUCGCAUCGAUGAAGAACGUAGCGAAAUGCGAUACUUGGUGUGAAUUGCAGAAUCCCGUGAACCAUCGAGUCUUUGAACGCAAGUUGCGCCCYAAGCCGUUAAGGCSGAGGGCACGUCUGCCUGGGUGUCACG
rnacentral:rRNA from 1 species